rnacentral:rRNA from 1 species
UGAGGGAAUAUUGGGUCAAUGGACGCAAGUCUGAACCAGCCAAGUCGCGUGCAGGAAUAAGGCCCUAUGGGUCGCAGACUGCUUUUGCAUGAGAAUAAAAAGUGGGACGAGUCCCACUCUGUAGGUAUCAUGCGAAUAAGGAUCGGCUAACUCCGUGCCAGCAGCCGCGGUAAUACGGAGGAUCCGAGCGUUAUCCGGAUUCAUUGGGUUAAAGGGUGCGCAGGCGGGUCUGUAAGCCCGUGGUGAAAGCCUGGUGCUCAACGCCAGAGGUGCCGCGGGAACUGCAGGUCUUGAGUCGUGACGAGGGCGGCGGAAUGCGAAGUGUAGCGGUGAAAUGCGUAGAUAUUAGGAGGA